CUUUGUCCCAAAACAGGACUUAUUGGCCAUUUUAACUAGUUCAGAGUAAAGAAUGUCUUUAAUAAUGCACAUUUGCACUUGCUACGUAUUAGGGCGACUGCAGAGCUUUGGUCAGUCAGACGAUCAGAACUGUUGAUACGGGGUGUGUGUGAGUUCCGCUUCCCAUGGUUUUAUCUCCUGCUGUAAAGGACCAAAGACUGGAGAGAACACAGCACCAUUUCCUCCACGACCUCCACUUCAGAACAAACCAGACCCCAAAGUCUUGCUUCCGGCAGGGAAUCGACCCCCCGGUCCCGGGCCUGGCAUAUGCUAAGCAAGUGCUCUUGAUGGUGACACAAAUGACGAAGGCUCAGUCGGCUGCCUUCCAGGAAACACUUUCCUGUGAUCCACUGCUACACCAGACCAGGAGCCGGUGGGUUAAACAUCUGAACACGGUCUUCACAAGACUCAACUGUAUCAGUUUUUUCCAACUUACCAUCUUUUAACAUUGCUGCAUUUUCAUUUAUUUGGGGGACAUUCUGAACUAAAGGACAGUGUUCAAUGUUCUUUAAAGAUAAGUGGAAAAAAUAUAAAAUACUGACGAGCUUU